GAUGUUGGAUCCAUUGUAUGAGCCCUCUCAAAGGCAUGGAAGCGACCUAUAGCAAGAUGAAAAAAAUUAUCAAACUCUAUCUACAACACUUGCACAGUAAAUGUUAGAUAUAUACAAGAGAUAUUGUCGAGAUUAUGAUUUCAUAACUUUAAGAAACUUAGUUAAUGACUUAACCUAGAGUUCUCUCCUCUUGUAUUGUAUAUAUUGGCAAUUGCCAUCUAUUGUGAAUAAUAUAGAAACACAUAUUCUCUACAUGAUAUCAAGAGCCAACGAUUACCCUAAAUUUUUCUUUUGAGCCGCCUUCUUCAAAUCUUCUUCUCUUCUUCUCUUUCAUUUCACUAUGGCCUUCAACGCUCCAGCGGUUGACGUGGUUCAAGGUGUGCUCAACAUCAACAUGAUCAACAUCACAAUGCUCACAACUACCAACUUCAUGACUUGGAAUCUUCAAGUUCAUGCUCUCCUAGACGGCUAUGACGUAUCUGGCUACCUUGAUGGUUCUAUCCCUGCACCAGAUCAGAUGAUAACGGUUGAUGGUCAAUCCGUUCCGAAUCCUGACUAUACGAAAUGGAGACGCCAGGACCGUCUUAUUUACAGCGGUCUUAUUGGCACGCUAUCUCCGUCGAUCCAAACCCUGGUCACCAACACAAAGACCUCGCAAGAUGUUUGGAAGUCUCUCAGCGCCACCUACGCAACACCAAGCCGCGGGCACAUUCAACAGCUUCGCUUGCAGCUCAAGCAAUAAACCAAAGGUGACAAAUCCAUUGAUGAAUACAUGCGUGGCUUAACCAGUCGAUUUGACCAGCUUGCUCUCCUUGGAAAACCACUUGAUCAUGAAGACAAGAUUGAAUAUGUUAUUGAUGGUCUCCCGGAAGAGUACAAGUCUGUCACAGAUCAGGUCGAGGGCCGCGACACAUCUCCAUCUAUCAUUGAAAUACAUGAGAAGCUCAUCAACAAGGAAGCCAAACUGCUGAGCUUGUCUGCGACUGUUGUUACUCCGGUUCCGGUCUCUGCUAAUGUUGCAACCACACGUCCGAAGAAUCAACAACACCGCAACUACAACCGCAACUGGAACAACAACAACAACAACAACAAGGCGCCUCAACAAUCCUAUCAAUCACAGUCAAACGACACUAACCAAAACAGAGGAUAUCAGGGUCGCUGUCAGAUCUGUAGCGUCUUCGGUCACAGCGCCAGGAGAUGCCCUCAGUUCGCUCCCUCGUCACAAAACGCCUACCCUGCCUCGCCUUUCCGUCCAUGGCAGCCAAGAGCGAACAUGGCGAUCUCAGCUCACAACCCGAGCAACGCUUGGCUGAUGGAUUCUGGUGCAACUCAUCACCUCACCAGUGACCUCCACAAUCUCUCACUUCAAAUGCUGCUUGCAAAUGACCUCACCGGGCCGUUGCAAAUGCUGCUUCUGAGUUGAGCUGGAUAUGCAAUAUUCUCACUGAGCUUGGAGUCGCUAUACCAGCAGCACCUGUUGUCUACUGCGACAACGUUGGAGCUACUUUUCUGUGUGCAAAUCCUAUUUUCCACUCUCGCAUGAAGCACAUUGCCAUUGACUAUCAUUUUGUUCGGGGCCAAGUACAACAUGGAGCUCUGCGUGUCUCACACGUCAAUACUAAAGAUCAACUUGCCGAUGCCUUAACUAAGCCUCUAACUCGUGCUCGGUUCCUUGAUCUCAUCAGCAAGAUUGGAGUGAUCCCUCUCCCUCCAUCUUGAGGGGGCGUGUUAGAUAUAUACAAGAGAUAUUGUCGAGAUUAUGAUUUCAUAACUUUAGGAAACUUAGUUAAUGACUUAACCUAGAGUUCUCCCCUCUUGUAUUGUAUAUAUUGGCAAUUGCCAUCUAUUGUGAAUAAUAUAGAAACACAUAUUCUCUACAGUAAAAACAGAGCUAUAGGAGUCAGAAAAAAAAUUAUACAGAGGUAAGCAACUCUUGGAUUAUCUGCUUCAAUGUCAUUAGCUACACCAAAAAUUAUACUCAUCGUGGAUUUAUAUGUGCAGAGGAAAAGGAGGAAAAAGAGAUGCGAACGCGAAGAGAGAUGGAGAUUCGUUGAGUGGGGUUUGGGGUUAUCCAAUUGCUCUAUGAGGAAGUAAAAAUAGAUGGAGAUGCGAGCGCGGAGAGAAUCAAAGAAGAGAGAAACAGAUCGAAUACGAAAGAGAAGAGAAGAAAAGAGGUCACCUUUUCUCAAGUCAAUAUGCAUCUGCCACGUAUGGGUUUUUACUGAUUCUUCAACCUCCAUAUAUAGAACCGGUUCUGUCUCUUUAUUUCAUUUUUCAUUUAUUUUUUCCCCUUUUUUCGUUAGAACCCAUCACUACAACC
rnacentral:lncRNA from 1 species